AUGUAUUAUAACAUACAUCGUGCCGCAAACCAACACCAUCAUUGUAAAAAUGAGAAUCGAUUAUAAUCACGAUAUCGAUAUUUCUUGCCUAGCCCUAUUCAAUUUUUCAUAUGCCCCUGUUAUUAUUAGUAAUAACUUUUUUCUUUUUUCAUUGUUUUAUUUUAUUUUUAUUAAUUUAGUUAUUUUUUACACUAUUUAGUCUUUUUUUUCUGUCAACUAGCAGGAAAACAUGGUCAAUUCUAACCAUUUUUUUUUAAGUACCGACAAUUCAUACAACUGUUUCCACACAGUAGCAUAGCGGAUGGGCACGCAAGGCAUGUUUAAUGUUUAUUUUUCAAUGUUAAUAAAGUGACACCAAAAAACAGGAACAUCAUUAGGAAAUCCUGGACUAAGCAAGUUUCUGAUAGGGCUAUAGCCUAGUAUAGCCCUAGUGCCGCCUCUGUUCUGAAACAUAAAAAUAAUGGCCUCAGUCACAAUUCUUUUCCUGAUUUCAUCUAUUUUUACCUCUCAGGGUGAAAUAUCUUCUCUGUACUACACGUAUAGUACCAUAUCGAAAUCUCUGAUCUCUGAAUUUUACAGCUCAACUGAAUUCAAUGACAUAGAGAUGAGUUUCUGUAAGAGUGUGAAUAAAGCAGAUUUCUUGACUCAGUUGUGUGAGGAAUCUAAGAGACUCUUUAGAAAUGAAACUGACGAUUUGAAUUAUAAACGAGAGUGGCUUCAGAUCAACAUAAACGCCCUCAUGGAAGCAGGAAAUCAAAACAGGAUGAACAACACAGGCGCAGAACAGCAGUGUAGCACACAUUUAUCGGCACAUGUGCAUCACAGACAGACAGAGCCGCAGAAGUGAAGCCCUCCCUCCCUUUCCAGUUGUGUUUGACGUGGUUUGGAGGCAAGUGGUGAUGAACAAUAGACUAAGCUACUAGUGCCUUUGAAUUUACAGCUAAUUAUCUAAAAGACAAAUACUAGGUGCUUCUCAAACGGAAGGCUGCAUCCUAUGAAGGCUGCAUAUCUCGGCUACUACGUCAUCAAACGUCGCUGAAGGCCAUCUCAAUUGGAAGGUUCCUUGGAAGGCAGCCUUCGUUUCGUGUCCUUUAUUCAGCUGUAUUUGAAGGAUGCAUGGGAUGUAUCCUCUGCGACCUUCAAUCACCCACAAUACUUUGUACCCAUUCCAUUUCAUGAAAAUAAACUGACAAAAAAACGAGUCA
ensembl:lncRNA